UUCAUAUGAAGAAGUCACGGGCAAAAUCUGAAGUCUUGGUGGAGAAUUAAUUGAAGGAAAAAUGAGUAGAAAGUGACUCAAACCUAACAAAUUCCAUUAGUGUUUAAAUAUUCAAACCUAACAAAUUCCAUUAGUGUUUAAAUAUUCAAACCUAAUAAAUUCCAUUAAUGUUUAAAUGCUCAAACCUAACAUAUCAUCAUUUGUUUAAAUCCAAAUAGUUUUGCUUGGUAGCCUAUAAAUAGAGGCUACAACAAAGAAGAAAGGACAUUCCUUCAUCCAUUCCAUCUUCUUUGUCUCUCCAUUUCCUUUCCAUUUUCCUUUCCAUCCUCUAGUUUCAAGUUUAGUCAUCUCCACGAGUUCAAGCAAGGCCAAAGAAGAAGAAGAGAAGCCGUGAGCACUUCCAUCCAUAGCCAUCCUUGAAGCUUGCUUUCGAGUUUCAAGAAUCCACAACGUGAAUCAUCCAUCUCAUCUUCAUCCACGGUGUGUACCCUCAAUCCCCGGAAUAGAACGAUCCCUAUUUGCUUAUACUACUAACGAUCUUUUCAGGGUUAAAUUAUGCGCUUGCUUUGAGCGUAUCAAUUUUUGGCGCCGUUGCCGGGGAUUGAAAAAUCACUUGUUUUUGUUUAUAAUUGUUGUAUAUAAACUGUUUGAUACUUAGUUUAAAUUAACUAGGUUGUUUUUUUUUAUUGUUGAAUACGAAUUUAAUUGUAGGUUGUAAAUUAAAGAAGGAAUAGGUGAAGUCGUGUUUAUUAAUAUUGGCCUAAACCCCUUAUUGGUACCUAGUUCAGGUCCCUUAAGGUUGAGGGCGGCCUUUAUUAACAUUCAUUGAACUGUCUAACACACUUAGGACCUUUUACAUCCUAGUAAGAAUAUCCUAUGUGAGAUGGUGUCUAGGAAGGGGACAACGUUCAUGACGGGUUUUUGAAUCCAGAAGUGCUUAUAAAUGGGCUUAGCUCAUGCCAAAAUGGAUUUUUCCUCUCGUGUUCACCCUCCCCUACCUGGCCAUUUCAGUAAGGUUGCCCAACGGAUGUAGGAGGGACUUUGUGUCUAGACGACUAUACUUGGGCCGCACGUCCACUUGAUUUACCGCUUGGAAUUAGAUUUGAUAUCAAUAAUGUUUAUAACAAAAGAAAUACUUGUGCAUACUCUUUACGUGUAAAUUAUUUUGUUGUUUCACACUUUAUACUUGUAAAAAUACUUUUUACGUUUUAUACUCACUUGUGUACUUAACUUGUGUCUUAUGUACAAAAUACUUGUUAAUUAUACUUGUAGUUUGUAAUUCAUAGUUACUUGUUUAUUUUUUUUUGUAUUUCUUUGUUAAUAUUAAGUUACUAACUUUAUUUAAUGUAGGUACCGUCUGGCUGCAAGACGUAAAAUACAAG